UACGGGGGGGGCAAGCGUUGUUCGGAAUUACUGGGCGUAAAGGGUUCGUAGGUGGCCAACUAAGUCAUACGUGAAAUCCCUCAGCUUAACUGGGGAACUGCGUCUGAUACUGGUUGGCUUGAGUGCAGGAGAGGAACGCGGAAUUCCAGGUGUAGCGGUGAAAUGCGUAGAUAUCUGGAGGAACACCGGUGGCGAAGGCGGCGUUCUGGACUGCAACUGACACUGAGGAACGAAAUCCAGGGGAGCAAACUGG
rnacentral:rRNA from 1 species